rnacentral:rRNA from 1 species
UGAGCCUAGGUCGGAUUAGCUGGUUGGUGGGGUAAUGGCUCACCAAGGCUAGGAUCCGUAACUGGUCUGAGAGGGUGAUCAGUCACACUGGGACUGAGACACGGUCCAGCCUCCUACGGGAGGCAGCAGUGGGGAAUAUUGGACAAUGGGCGAAAGCCGUAUCCAAAAGUGCCGCGUGUGUGAAGAAGGUCUUCGGAUUUCAAUUAAAGGGAGUUGGAGGAAGGGCAUUAACCUAAUACGUUAGGUUUGACGUAC